GAUCGGGUGGCACAAUGGUAGCUCGUUGUCUUCCGGCUGUACAUGACUCACUCGCAAGAGCUCAUUCAUCAUUCUGAAACUAAACUUGGCAAAGGCUCUGGGUUCGAAUCCCAGCUCGAUCG